rnacentral:piRNA from 1 species
UAAAAUAACCUGACACCACAAUGACGAC